CGAGCACGCGCGUGUGGCAUAUCAAUAAGCGGAGGAAAAGAAACUAACAAGGAUUCCCUUAGUAACGGCGAGUGAAGCGGGAAGAGCUCAAAUUUGAAAUCUUCAAGGUUCUACCUUGACGAAUUGUAGUUUAUAGAAGUGUUUUCUGUUAGUGGAGUUGGCUAAAAGUUCUUUGGAAUAGGACAUCAUAGAGGGUGAGAAUCCCGUAUUUGGUCAUUCCUUCCUAGCUUUGUGAUACACUUUCAACGAGUCGGAUUGUUUGGGAAUGCAGUCCAAAAUGGGUGGUAAAUUUCAUCUAAAGCUAAAUAUUGGCGAGAGACCGAUAGCGAACAAGUACCGUGAGGGAAAGAUGAAAAGAACUUUGAAAAGAGAGUUAAACAGUACGUGAAAUUGUCAAAAGGGAAGCGUUUGACACCAGUGUUGUUUUUCCGAAAAUCAAUUACGAAUGUUUUGUUUUUGAGGAGUUAUGACUUCAUCGGCUUGCUCCUUUCUUUACGAAACUUUCUUAAUGCACUUUUCGGUUAACAAGUCAACAUCAAUUUCUUUUGUUGUAAAAGGGUAUGAGGAAGGUGGCUUUCUUUUCGGAGAAAGUGUUUAUAGCCUUGUGCCUCUAGCAAUCGGAGAGAUUGAGGUCUGCAGCGUAGAUCCUUCGGGGUUAGAUACGUUUGUGCUAAGUUAUAGCUUUUCAUAGACAACUUGUUGACUAUGUUUAGUCUUGUAGCUUACUCGCUUACGCUAUUUUACCUACGCUUAGGAUGUUGAACUCUAUCACACACAG
rnacentral:rRNA from 1 species